AUUGAACGCUGGCGGAAUGCUUUACACAUGCAAGUCGAACGGCAGCAUAGGUGCUUGCACCUGAUGGCGAGUGGCGAACGGGUGAGUAAUACAUCGGAACGUGCCCAGUCGUGGGGGAUAACGUAGCGAAAGUUACGCUAAUACCGCAUACGAUCUACGGAUGAAAGCGGGGGACCGUAAGGCCUCGCGCGAUUGGAGCGGCCGAUGUUAGAUUAGGUAGUUGGUGGGGUAAAGGCUCACCAAGCCGACGAUCUAUAGCUGGUCUGAGAGGAUGAUCAGCCACACUGGGACUGAGACACGGCCCAGACUCCUACGGGAGGCAGCAGUGGGGAAUUUUGGACAAUGGGCGCAAGCCUGAUCCAGCCAUUCCGCGUGCAGGACGAAGGCCUUCGGGUUGUAAACUGCUUUUGUACAGAACGAAAAGCUCUGGGUUAAUACCCUGGGGUCAUGACGGUACUGUAAGAAUAAGCACCGGCUAACUACGUG
rnacentral:rRNA from 1 species